GGUGAACGCUGGCGGCGUGCCUCACACAUGCAAGUCGAGCGAGAACAGGGUGCUUGCACCCUGGGACAGCGGCGAACGGGUGAGUAACACGUGAGUAACCUGCCCUUCGGAGGGGGAUAGCGGUUCGAAAGGACCGGUAAUACCCCAUAUGCUCACAUUCUUUCAAGGAAGGUGAGGAAAUGGUUUAUUCCGCCGAAGGAGGGGCUCGCGGCCUAUCAGGUAGUUGGUGAGAUAAAGGCUCACCAAGCCUACGACGGGUAUCCGACGUGAGAGCGUGAUCGGACACAUGGGAACUGAGACACGGUCCUGACUCCUACGGGAGGCAGCAGUGGGGAAUUUUGGACAAUGGGCGAAAGCCUGAUCCAGCAACGCCGCGUGGGGGAUGAAGGCCUUCGGGUUGUAAACCCCUGUUGCGAGGGAUGAAUAAGGUUUAUCCGAUGACCGUACCUCGCCAGAAAGCCCCGGCUAACUACGUGCCAGCAGCCGCGGUAAUACGUAGGGGGCGAGCGUUACCCGAAAUCACUGGGCGUAAAGGGAGCGCAGGUGGUAUAACAAGUCAGGGGUUAAAUCCCACGGCUCAACCGUGGACCUGCCUUUGAAACUGUUAUACUUGGGGCUGAGAGAGGAAGAUGGAAUUCCUGGUGUAGUGGUGAAAUACUUAGAUAUCAGGAAGAACACCUAUGGCGAAGGCAGUCUUCUGGCUCAGUCCUGACACUGAGGCUCGAAAGCUAGGGGAGCGAAUGGGAUUAGAUACCCCAGUAGUCCUAGCCGUAAACGAUGCUCACUGGGUGUGGGGGGAAACACCCUCUGUGCCGAAGUUAACGCGAUAAGUGAGCCGCCUGGGGAGUACGACCGCAAGGUUGAAACUCAAAGGAAUUGACG
rnacentral:rRNA from 1 species